GCAUAUCAAUAAGCGGAGGAAAAGAAAAUAACAAUGAUUCCCCUAGUAACUGCGAGUGAAGAGGGACAAGCUCAAAUUUUAAAUCUAUCGGGUUUUACCCGAUCGAGUUGUAAUUUGAAGAAGCGUUUUCUGCGUUUUUGGUCAGCUCAAGUCCUAUUGAAUGAGGCAUCAUGGAGGGUGAUAAUCCCGUCCGGUUGAUCAUUUGCGUUUUACGAUACGCUCUCUAAGAGUCAAGUUGUUUGGGAUUGCAGCUUAAAAUGGGAGGUAAAUUUCUCCUAAGGCUAAAUAACGGCGAGAGACCGAUAGCGAACAAGUACCGUGAGGGAAAGAUGAAAAGAACUUUGAAAAGAGAGUUAAACAGUACGUGAAAUUGUUGAAAGGGAAACGAUUGAAGCCAGUCGUACCUUCGGGUAAUCAGCCUUUCGGGUGCGAUUCUGUGGAGUGUGAGGAGCUUAACACCUUCAUGCUUUGCAUAUUUGUGCUCUUGGGUGUACUUGCCCGUGUGGUUGGUUAACAUCAAUUUUGAUUAUCAUAAAAUGACUGGAGGAAUGUAGCUUCGAUCUCGUAUUGAAGUGUUAUAGCCUUUGGUAGAUGUGAUGAUCGAGAUUGAGGAUUGCAACGGAUACCCUUCGGGGCUACCUGUCUGGUCUCUGAUCGUUGCUCUGGUGCCGAAAGCUUGCUUACGGUUAUCAAAGUCGAUGGUCAAUAGGUUAGAACGGGUUAAAUUCGUUAAGGAUGUUGACGUA
rnacentral:rRNA from 1 species